rnacentral:rRNA from 1 species
CCUACGGGAGGCAGCAGUGGGGAAUUUUGGACAAUGGGCGCAAGCCUGAUCCAGCAAUGCCGCGUGAGUGAAGAAGGCCUUCGGGUUGUAAAGCUCUUUUGUCAGGGAAGAAACGGUGGGAGCUAAUAUCUCCCGCUAAUGACGGUACCUGAAGAAUAAGCACCGGCUAACUACGUGCCAGCAGCCGCGGUAAUACGUAGGGUGCAAGCGUUAAUCGGAAUUACUGGGCGUAAAGCGUGCGCAGGCGGUUUUGUAAGUCUGUCGUGAAAGCCCCGGGCUCAACCUGGGAAUUGCGAUGGAGACUGCAAGGCUUGAAUCUGGCAGAGGGGGGUAGAAUUCCACGUGUAGCAGUGAAAUGCGUAGAGAUGUGGAGGAACACCGAUGGCGAAGGCAGCCCCCUGGGUCAAGAUUGACGCUCAUGCACGAAAGCGUGGGGAGCAAACAGGAUUAGAUACCCUGGUAGUCCACGCCCUAAACGAUGUCUACUAGUUGUCGGUUUUAAUAGUCUUAGGUAACGCAGCUACGCGUGAGUAGACCGCCGUCGGGAGGUACGGUCGGUCGAGAGUUAAACGUACGAAGAAGUUAGAGGCGNGAGACGNGCGACGGACGACGACGAGGGAGGAGG